UGUGUUAUCAAAAGUCCAGCAGUUUAUGUAAUUGUGAGAGUGAAGUGUUUGACACUGCUUUUGAGUUUCUGAGCACCUCACUUUUUUCUACACUAUGCAACGUAGCAAUUUAGAUAAACGUUACCAACAGGCCUAAGGUGGUCGUGUGGAAUCAUUCUGGAGGAAAUCCCUGCUGAACUUGUCUGGCUUUUUGAGCUCAACAGAAACAUUUUCAACUAAGAUACCAGACUCCACCGAUCAACGCUCAAGCCCAUCCCAGGCUCUACAGCCGCUCUGCCAGUCUAUGGAGACGGUACAGCUGUAGGACUGAAUGAUGACGUCACCUCUUCCUCAUCUCUGGGCUCCGAUUCCUCCUCUCCCAUUGCAAAUAGAACUCGUCAGGAGCAGGGAGAAGUGAUAACUGCUCCUAUGAUAAACGCCAUGGGACCAACUGGCCCAGCCCUCGUCUACCGCCCCUGGACUGACGCAGACAUGACCAAAGCACUAAAUCACCUCCCAGACCAACGGAACUCUGGCACAGCAUUUGCCCUCCAGUUUGAAACAUUUUGCCAAGAAUUCAUGCCAACAGUGUCUGAAAUCAGACGACUUCUAAUGAAGAAAUUAGGCCCCACUGACUUUGCAAAAAUACAUCAGCACUGUGGAGGUGACCUCCGUCUGACUUCACCAGACUGGGAUGAUGCGGGUAAUGCCACAUAUGUCAAUGCUCUCAACACACUCCUCAACGCCCCGAAGACCGUCUUCCCAAACAAAAUAGAGAAAGGGACGAGAUGACAGACGGAGAGGAGAAGUCCAGCCUUCCCGUCGAGAAACAGAGAAAGAUAAGUGAAACACACACACACACAGAAGCAUACACACACACAGAAGCCACUGCAAAGAAGUAUCAGCUUGCGUUACUAACUGCACACACAUACAAACACCAGAUCACACACAACUUUGUGGUACUUAUGUUAAGUACAAUAGUGAUGCUUUUAAGAAAAUGCCUCAACUCGAACUUCAACAACAUCCCAUAAAGUUUGAACAUGGUUUUCUGUUGUCUCCCUGUUGCCCAAUUAAUCUAUUAGGAAGAGAUUUGAUGAUUCAUGGCAUGCACCUCACAUGUGACAGACACAGCAGAUCAUGUUUAUGAAUCUCUGUUUUUGCCUUUUUCUGAAAAGUCCAAUAAUUUUUGGUCUGGUUCCAGAAGUGCAACUGCUCAUUUGUUGUGACUGAAAAUCACCUUUAUUCUUAUGCAAUGUUGUUCAGCACCUUUGAUGUUUCUCCUUUACUUUCAGAUCUGCCUGAAACACUGUGGGCAAAAGACAAAUAUAAUGUGGGCCUCAUCAGAAAUUGGGAUCCAGUCUAAAUCACUCCAAAAUCUGAUUAUAGACCAUGUAAACAACAAUAUCCAUUCAGACAGGAAGCAAUGGAGGGGAUACGUCCUGUUUUUGAAUCCUUUUUGCAGUUCGGUGUAAUUGUCCCCUGUCCUGAUUCAACGGGCCGCAUUCCACUGUUCCCAGUUAAGAAGAUCAGAGACAAAGGUCAACCUACUGAGUGGCGGUUUGUGCAGGAUUUGAAGGCUGUGAAUAAGGCCGUAAUUUUUCGAUCGCCUAUUAUUCCCAACCCAUACACACUGCUUUCCCAAAUUCCGCCUAAUGCAGUGUGGUUUUCGAAUGUAGAUUUAUCCAACGCAUUCUUUAGUGUUCCUGUCCACAAGGACAGCCACUCCUCCUCACUCCAGGUUCUGCUCUCUUGCAGUAUGUUGAUGGUCUACUAAUUGCCAGUCCCACACAGGAGCAAUGUUAAACAAACACGAUCGCUUUGCAGAGACUUGUGAGGGCCAUAAAGUCAGCCUCAGCAAACUACAGUUUGUACAACAAACCGUCACGUUUCCGGGUCAUGUCGUCACCAAAGAUGGCAAAUCCCUGUCUGAUAAGAGAGUAGAAGCUAUUGUUAAAAUGCCGAAACCCUUGAUGAAGAAACGACUCAUGUCAUUCAUCGGCACAUUGUCUUUCUGUAGAACAUUCAUUCCUGACUUUGCUCUUCUUGAAGCCCCCUUAGGCGCUCUGUACCACGGCAAAUCACUCACUCCUCAUGAACGUGUCGUUUGGACUCCAGAAGCAGACGAGGCAUUUGUCACACUGAAGAAGACGCUGCAGCAAUCUCCCACUCUUGCUCUCCCUAACCCUGACAAACCUUUUAUUCAGGCUGUGUAUGUGAGAGACCGCUGCAUGACUUCAGUCUUCCUUCAGCCUCAUGGUGACAAAUUUCGCCCUGUCGCCUACUUCUCCGCCAAACUUGAUCCGGUGGCAGCUGGCCUUCACGUUGUUUGCGUGCAGUGGCCACCUGUGAAAAGCCGUCCUUGCCUCACGAAACAUAGGUUACUCUGACUUGACACUCAGCGUUCCUCAUGCUGUGUCUCUCAUUCUUACAGAACAGUAGACCUCACAUCUCUCUGCUGCUCGCUGGUUGCGGUAUCACCGGUGAUGAGGUCAGAGCCCUGACAUCUUGGUGCAAGGACAACAACCUCCAUCUCAACGUCAGCAAAACGAAGGAGCUGAUCGUGGACUACAGGAAGAGACAAGGAGUGGAACACGCCCCCCUCUCCAUCAACGGGACCACGCAGGAGUGAGUCAGCAGCUUCAAGUUCCUCGGGGUCCACAUCACUGAUGACCUGACCUGGACCCAUCACACAGACUCCAUCAGGAAGACGGCCAGACAGCGGCUCUUCUUCCUCUUCAGGCUGCGUAAGCUCCACAUGGACUCCAAGAUUCUCUGCAAUUUCUACAUGUGCCCAAUAGAGAGCAUCCUGACUGGCUGCAUCACCGCCUGGUAUGGCAGUUGCACCGCCCUGAGCCGUAAGGCUAUACAGAGGGUGGUGUAGUCCACCCAGCACAUCACCAGGACGGCGCUACCAUCCAUAGAGGACCUCUACACCCAGUGGUGCAGGAAGAAGAGCAGCCGGAUUAUUAAAGACCCCUUUCACCCCAGUCAUAAACAUUUUUGCCUGCUGCCGUCUGGCCGACGGUACCGCAGCAUCCGGGCCCGCAUCACCAGGCUCAGAGACAGUUUCAUCCCCCAGGCCAUAAGACUUUUAAACUCCUCUGAACUGCAAUAAUUCUACCAAACCAGCAACGUGACAUAUUUGCAUAUUUUCACAUAAAUGCACUAUUGUUAUUUUAUUUUCUCUUCAGUUGUUUAUAUAUAUAUUAGAUAUAUAUACUUUAUUUUCUAUUUUAAAUUUUGAUAUUCUAUUUUAUUCAAUAUUUACUAUUUCUAUUUUAUUUUAUAGGUUGUAAUUACUUGAGCAUUACUAGAAGACAGCUUGUGACUCAAGCAUUUCACUGCCAGCAACUGCUUAAUGUUAUUGUUGUGCAUUUGAUAAUAAAAAUCUUGAAUCUUGAA